rnacentral:rRNA from 1 species
CUACGGGGCGCAGCAGUGGGGAAUAUUGGACAAUGGGGGAAACCCUGAUCCAGCAAUGCCGCGUGUGUGAAGAAGGCCUGCGGGUUGUAAAGCACUUUCGGUUGGGAGGACUGCUUCUAGCACUAAUAUUGUUGGAAGUUGACGUUACCUUCAGAAGAAGCACCGGCUAACUCCGUGCCAGCAGCCGCGGUAAUACGGAGGGUGGCAAGCGUUAAUCGGAAUUACUGGGCGUAAAGCGCGCGUAGGCGGCUAGACCAGUCGGGUGUGAAAGCCCCGGGCUUAACCUGGGAACUGCAUCCGAUACUGUCUAGCUUGAGUACAGGAGAGGAGAGUGGAAUUCCACAUGUAGCGGUGAAAUGCGUAGAUAUGUGGAGGAACACCAAUGGCGAAGGCAGCUCUCUGGCCUGAUACUGACGCUGAGGUGCGAAAGCGUGGGGAGCAAACAGGAUUAGAUACCAUGGUAGUC